AUUGAACGCUGGCUGCAGGCCUAACACAUGCAAGUCGAGCGGAUGAAGGGAGCUUGCUCCUGGAUUCAGCGGCGGACUGGUGAGUAAUGCCUAGGAAUCUGCCUGGUAGUGGGGGAUAACGUCCGGAAACGGGCGCUAAUACCGCAUACGUCCUGAGGGAGAAAGUGGGGGAUCUUCGGACCUCACGCUAUCAGAUGAGCCUAGGUCGGAUUAGCUAGUUGGUGGGGUAAAGGCCUACCAAGGCGACGAUCCGUAACUGGUCUGAGAGGAUGAUCAGUCACACUGGAACUGAGACACGGUCCAGACUCCUACGGGAGGCAGCAGUGGGGAAUAUUGGACAAUGGGCGAAAGCCUGAUCCAGCCAUGCCGCGUGUGUGAAGAAGGUCUUCGGAUUGUAAAGCACUUUAAGUUGGGAGGAAGGGCAGUAAGUUAAUACCUUGCUGUUUUGACGUUACCAACAGAAUAAGCACCGGCUAACUUCGUG
rnacentral:rRNA from 1 species